ACUUCCUGUUGGUUGACAUCCGGUAUUUGUUCGAAAGCUAGAGAUACAUUUUGUAGUCUUCUGUAGUAUUUUCUGUUGCCAUCCUACACAAAGCGGCGAAGAAGCAAUGCCGAGGAACAACCCAGUUGCACUUUUAAACCUCGUUAACGCCGUCUGGUCUAACGCCUUCCUGUUUCUCCUCUGAUCCAUGUUUGGAAUGCAACCCUGGACAUUCUGUAGCAGAUGCUAUCGCGCGGCCGCCCUCCCAAAGGCUCGCAUAACAAACCUGCGCCGCCGCCGUCCAAGAAUCACAAAAACCCAAGUCCAACGCCGACGACGGACUGAGUGUUUGCCGGGUUUUAUCACUUCUAACCAGGGCCAUAUGACGCCACGUGAGGGGGUACGUCUCCACCGCAUGCUGGCGUCAUCUGAAGGAGGGCUGCUGAACUCAACUAUGCAGAAUGUGAAAUCAAACACCCUCAUCUUAUCUCCCCCCGGUAAACCCCCGGUCCUCGUCUGUUUGAUGUGAAAGGAAAGCGUCAUGAACCUUGCCCCUGAACGCACCGUCACAUACUGUAGGUGAUCUGCUCCCAAAUUGAAAAGAUAUAUGAGAAGAUAAUGCCAUUGGUGAGUUAUCAGCAGUUCAACCUUCAGGUACAUGUUAGUUUAUUUCCAACAUCACAUCAUUACAGCAUGUGUAGGCUGACCAUAUUCUGACCAAAUCCCAAAAAGAGGACAGAGGACACAUAUAUGCGUGCCAAGGCCGGGACUCGGUGAAAAUUUGCCAAUGAUACUCGAACUUGCUUUAUAAAUAAUAUCCCAUCCAUCCAUUUUCUACCGCUUAUUCCCUUGUGGGGUCGCGGGGGGCGCUGGCACCUAUCUCAGCUACAAUCGGGCGGAAGGCGGGGUACACCCUGGACAAGUCGCCACCUCAUCGCAGGGCCACCACAGAUAGACAACAUUCACACUCACAUUCACACACUAGGGCCAAUUUAGUGUUGCCAAUCAACCUAUCCCCAGGUGCAUGUCUUUGGAAGUGGGAGGAAGCCGGAGUACCCGGAGGGAACCCACGCAUCCACGGGGAGAACAUGCAAACUCCACACAGAAAGAUCCCGAGCCUGGAUUUGAACCCAGGACUGCAGGACCUUCAUAUUGUGAGGCAGACGCACUAACCCCUCUGCCACCGUGAAGCCUAUAAAUAACAUAUUCAUUUAAAUAAAGCAUUUUUUCUCCUAUGUCGACAGCAGUGUUGGCGCUAGGAACGUUUAAAAAUGGGGUCCCAGGGACCCCAUCAAGUCAUAAAAAUGGGGUCCCUUAGUACAUUUUUAGGGUACCACUUUUUUGUAAGCGUUUUGAAAAAAAAAAUGAUAUGCAUUAUCCUGUUAUAUCUAACAUUCCAUGUGUUUUGGAAAAAGGUUGUCAUAAACGUGUCACGCCUGUAAAUCUGGUUUUAUGUUUGAUCAUGUUUUGUUUUCUGGACUCUUGUUCCGUUUUUUCACUUCCUGGUUUGUUUUUGUUACCAUGACAACUCAUUGAUUUUCACCUUGCCCUCCUAGUCAUGCCCCUGCCCUCAGUCCCGCACCUGUUCCUAAUUAUCACAGCCACUACUUAAAUCAUUUUCUUUCUGUCCAUCAGUCUGGGAUUUUUGCAAUCUGCUUCAUGCUUUCAUUUCCAUCACAGACCUCCACGCCUUGCCACGCUGCUAAACAUUUGGACCACGCCACUUAAGAUCCAUGUAUUCUUUCGCCCAAGUGCUGUUUUUUGGUUCAUUGAGUAUCUUUGUUAGCAUCUUUGUUUAUUUAUAGAUAGCCAUGCCAUUGUGCUGUUUUUGUUACGUUUUAGCAUAGAUUAUUAUCUGCCAUCGGGCGUGCUUUUUGUUUUGCCUUUUGUAUUUUAGUAACAAAUAAAAAUAUACUUACAUUCA